rnacentral:rRNA from 1 species
UAUCUCGGUAUGUAAACUUCUAUCUCCAAGGAAGAUAAUGACGGUACCUGACUAAGAAGCCCCGGCUAACUACGUGCCAGCAGCCGCGGUAAUACUUACGGGGCGAGCGUUAUCCGGAUUUACUGGGUGUAAAGGGAGCGUAGACGGCGUAUCAAGUCUGAUGUGAAAGGCAGGGGCUUAACCCCUGGACUGCAUUGGAAACUGGUAUGCUUGAGUGCCGGAGGGGUAAGCGGAAUUCCUAGUGUAGCGGUGAAAUGCGUAGAUAUUAUG